GACGAACGCUGGCGGCGUGCUUAACACAUGCAAGUCGAACGGAAAGGCCCUGCUUUUGUGGGGUGCUCGAGUGGCGAACGGGUGAGUAACACGUGAGUAACCUGCCCUUGACUUUGGGAUAACUUCAGGAAACUGGGGCUAAUACCGGAUAGGAGCUCCUGCUGCAUGGUGGGGGUUGGAAAGUUUCGGCGGUGGGGGAUGGACUCGCGGCUUAUCAGCUUGUUGGUGGGGUAGUGGCUUACCAAGGCUUUGACGGGUAGCCGGCCUGGGAGGGUGACCGGCCACAUUAGGACUGAGAUACGGACCAGACUCCAACGGGAGGCAGCAGUGGGGAGUAUUGCACAAUGGGCGGGAGCCUGAUGCGACAGCGCCGCGUUCGGGAUGACGGCCUUCUGGUUGUGAACCGCUUUCGCCUGUGACGAAGCGUGAGUGACGGUAAUGGGUAAAGAAGCACCGGCUAACUACGUG
rnacentral:rRNA from 1 species